UUGUGAAUAGUAGGGAGUGUGUUUGCAGGUUCACUGCUGAUAUUGAUAAGGAAACGGUGGCUCAGCAUGAUAAGACUUAUAUUUGGCAUUUCCAGAAUUUUGCAGGAGUCACAAAUGUCAACUGUUGUAGAGCGAUGGAUUAUUUAUACAACCCUAAACUUUAAUAUUUGAUGUAGAGCACAGAGAUCUUACAACUCAAGUGACUAAAGAGAUCUCAUACAAGAACGCUAGAAAUGUGUUUACUAUACUGUGACAGCACAGAUACUGUGAGUAACUCUUAUUGUUACUAAAUUACUCCUACUGUCAAAGUAACUUCAACUGCUUGAUUGGGUUUCAAUGACAGUUUUUCCUGCUGAACACUAGAGGGAGGCAGUGCACAGCAUACUGAAACCUGCAUACUGAACUUAGUAUUUUCUGGAAACUUCCAUUGGUGUGGCUCAGAGCCUUCUUUUACCUUCUGUUCUUUUUCACUGCUGAAGCAAACAUCAUAACGUACACAGGUCACAUGCUGGUCACUGAGGUUCCUUCAAGGUUCCUUCACAUCCCAUUUAAAUCUGGGGAAAAUCUGAGCAGUUGAUUGCAGUCCAGGCCAGAGAAGAAACGCAUGAGUGGCCUCUCUCUCUCUCUCUCUCUCUCUCUCUCUCUCUCACACACACACACUCACACACACACACUCACUGCAGGUCUCUCUUCCGCUGUGUCCUGUCAUCAUGAGAGUGUCAGCAGAGGCUGCUGUGUCCCGGCUCAUCAUCCAGCAGCACUCCAUCAGAUAACGGGAAACUCGACGCCACAUCGGGAGAUUUUUUCCAUCUCUGAUACCGCCUCGCAGUCUGCAAAGAAUGCUGCAGAUCCCGUGGGGUUCGAGUACAAGCUCUGAACGUCCAUCUCACACACACUGGCCGUGACCCCCGUGGACGGACGUUCCCUGCAUGCGUUGAUGCAGGUUCAUGGCGUCAUGGGCAGGUGUAAGCUCUCAGAGCUCGUCAUGUCAACAAACGUGUGUUCCCUGAGAGACAUGUCACAUUCACAAAGGUCAAACACACUUCAUGCUGCUUUAUUCAUACAUAUUUGAUAGUCUGCCUUAGAAUAUAUUGAUUUAUAUGUUAUUAGGGCUGUAAUAAUAUAUAAUUUUACAAUAUAUAGGGAUACAAGUAGUUAAAAUUUUGCAUCAAGUAUAGUAAGGGCGUAUCAAAUAUGGUAAGGUCACACAUUUGGAAUUGAAACAUAUUAUUAAAAAAUAAUAUAGGCCUAUACAAUAUUUAAAACUUUGUAGAUGAGGCACAUCAGACCACAAGCAUAUAUGUGUCCAAUAUAAUUAUGUAAUGCCAGAUUUAGCAUUUUAAUGAACAGUCCUUUUUAACGGUUUAUUGUGUAUCUUAGAAGUAAUGAUUUGAAAGUGAAUGCAUCGUAACACGAGAUCAGUAUCGAACCAAAUCUGACUUGUAAUUUGCAGUGUUGUUUUAGUAUUGAGAUAUUAUAGUUCUUGUUAAUAUUUUUAAGCCAUUUUUAUUUUUCCAUUUUUAGUUUAAUGCAAUUUUGUCAUUUUAGUU